UUGUAAAGUAUACUUACUUACUUACAAUAAAAUGGAAGCUUAUUUUCUUUCAACAGUAUAUAUUUUAAAAUAUGUUAAUAGAUUUAAGUGGGAUCAGGGCUAUGCUAUAAUUGCCUUGAAUUGUGUGAGAUUGUAUAAUAAACUUUUUAACUGUAAGAGUUGACUAUUCUCUGUUGUAAUCACCAUAGACAUAAGUAACUAGGUCAUGCCUGUGCACCUGUUAUACUGAGAAUCCCAUAAUAGAAAUUUGAGAUAGCCAUGAUCAUAAAUAUAUGUGGAACCAAGCUGCUUGCACUGGAAAAAUAGAGGGAGAAGAGGAUUGUCUUACUGCUCUUUUCAAUACCCUCCUAUAUUAUCACCAACUUCCAUGGUAUUUCUAAUACUAAUAAAACUCUAACUAUAAAAAAAAAAUGCUUCUCUGUAGCACUCUAUUGGACUUCCAGUGGAAAAUGUUGUUUCAGCCAAUUUAAACUGAUUACUAUACAAGUAACAUGACCCACAGUGUGUGGCAGUGAAAAUUCCAGUUUAACAUAGGCAGUCCACCAGUAAACUAAACCUAUUGGCUAAUUUCUUGGUAUGGUGGCAUAAACUGAUGCAUAAUAGUUUGUAGUGAUAAAGAGAACUUCAAGUAUCACAUGACUAAAUUAAAGCUGUGACUAUUUCUAUUACCUGCCUUUCAACCUUACUGAUCAUUUUUACACAGCUCUAAUAAAGGCAGUAUAAAUAGUGGGGCCAUUUGGAGAUGGUCUCCUUUUGAGGAAAGAUCUCCCCCUUCCCCCAACCCCAGUACAAGAGUACCAGCUGCUGACUAACCACUGGUGUUGGUACCAAAAUGUAAAAAUCAUGAGUUUUUGUCUUUUAUCAUGCUUCUAACAAUGGUAGCCAAAACUGGAAGAACAAAGGUUUUUCUUCUCCGUUUAUACUGUUGGUCUAUAGGCCUGUAGCAUUUAUUCACCAGUUAAAUCUGUGUUAUAUACUGGAUGUUUCUCCAUUUUUGUAAAUUGAUUUUUCUGUGUAUGUGUAUAUACAGAUACUUUUUAGUAAAUAUUUAGUUCUGUCACUAUUUUAAUAGUUUUAUAACUCUCUGGUUCUGGUGUCUCUUAAUGAGAGCUGUCAUUUGAUUGCUGCUUCCCAGCAGACGUACAGUUCUGCAUGUAAAGGGCUGUCACAAAUUAAGUGUGGCUUAAUAAUUGAGAGAAACUGGAAGCUCAUACGAUAACAUUAAAGUUCUAUUUUGUACGUUUUUUCACUGUUUUAACUUUGAUUUAGUUUGGGGAAUACUCGUAUUUUUUUGAAAACUUUACAGAAAUAGAGGUAGGGGACGAAUGAAAUCAGAGUUGUGUUGUUUUUUUUAAUGGAUUUUUUUCUUAAAACAACUGUAAGCCUCCAGUCUUGCUCUGGAGUCAUUCAAAUUUCAAGCAAAACUUCAGUUGUUACUAUGUCAAGAGACUGACCGGUUUUCUAUUAACUUUUCUCUUAUUUGCUCACUUCAUUUUUU